UACAGAGGGGGCAAGCGUUGUUCGGAAUUACUGGGCGGAAAGGGCGCGUAGGCGGCCCGCUAAGUCGAACGUGAAAUCCCCAGGCUUAACCUGGGAACUGCGUCCGAUACUGGCAGGCUUGAAUCCGGGAGAGGGAUGUGGAAUUCCAGGUGUAGCGGUGAAAUGCGUAGAUAUCUGGAGGAACACCGGUGGCGAAGGCGGCAUCCUGGACCGGCAUUGACGCUGAGGCGCGAAAGCUAGGGGAGCAAACGGG
rnacentral:rRNA from 1 species